AUUGAACGCUGGCGGCAGGCCUAACACAUGCAAGUCGAACGGUAACAGGAAGCAGCUUGCUGCUUCGCUGACGAGUGGCGGACGGGUGAGUAAUGUCUGGGAAGCUGCCUGAUGGAGGGGGAUAACUACUGGAAACGGUAGCUAAUACCGCAUAAUGUCGCAAGACCAAAGAGGGGGACCUUCGGGCCUCUUGCCAUCGGAUGUGCCCAGAUGGGAUUAGCUUGUUGGUGGGGUAACGGCUCACCAAGGCGACGAUCCCUAGCUGGUCUGAGAGGAUGACCAGCCACACUGGAACUGAGACACGGUCCAGACUCCUACGGGAGGCAGCAGUGGGGAAUAUUGCACAAUGGGCGCAAGCCUGAUGCAGCCAUGCCGCGUGUAUGAAGAAGGCCUCCGGGUUGUAAAGUACUUUCAGCGGGGAGGAAGGGAGUAAAGUUAAUACCUUUGCUCAUUGACGUUACCCGCAGAAGAAGCACCGGCUAACUCCGUG
rnacentral:rRNA from 1 species